UAUGUGAUUAUGUUAAAAGUAAGUAUCUCUCUCCUAUGUGAGAGUUAUAUUUUGUUGUUCUUGUUUGUUCAUGGUGGUUUGCUUUUCCAAAUUUUGGCUCGUAUAUCCUUACUUAUUCCAUUUGCAUCUCUUCUCCCACUUCACUUCAACCAUCACACCUCUCUCACAUCAUUCUCCUUAUCAUCUCCCCUCCUCACCCACACAUGAGUUCUUUCUUCUACCCCUCCCAUGAGAUCUGAA
rnacentral:lncRNA from 1 species